UGUUGGCAUGAGUAGCGAGAUGUGGGUGAGAAUCCCACAGGCCGUAAACCCAAGGUUUCCAGGGGAAGGUUCGUCCGCCCUGGGUUAGUCGGAACCUAAGCUGAGGCCGAAAGGCGUAGGUGAUGGACAACAGGUUGAUAUUCCUGUACUACCGAUAACCAUUUGAGAGAAGGGAUGACACAGUAGGAUAAGCUAAGCACACUGUUGGUUAUGUGUGCCCAAGCAUUGAGGCAGUCAAAGUAGGCAAAUCCGCUUUGAUAAUGCUGGGAUGUGAUGGGGAGCGAAAUUUAGUAGCGAAGUAGCUGAUUUCACACUGUCAAGAAAAGUCUCUA
rnacentral:rRNA from 1 species